rnacentral:rRNA from 1 species
UACGUAGGUGGCAAGCGUUGUCCGGAAUUAUUGGGCGUAAAGCGCGCGCAGGCGGUUCCUUAAGUCUGAUGUGAAAGCCCACGGCUCAACCGUGGAGGGUCAUUGGAAACUGGGGAACUUGAGUGCAGGAGAGAAGAGUGGAAUUCCACGUGUAGCGGUGAAAUGCGUAGAGAUGUGGAGGAACACCAGUGGCGAAGGCGACUCUUUGGCCUGUAACUGACGCUGAGGCGCGAAAGCGUGGGGAGUAAACAGG